GACGUAGGAGGCGAGCGUUAUCCGGAUUCACUGGGCGUAAAGCGCAUGUAGGCGGAUGUCUAAGUCGUGUGUUAAAGCCCCUGGCUCAACUGGGGGAGGUCAUGCGAGACUGGAUGACUUGAGGGCAACAGAGGCACGUGGAACUCCCGGUGUAGCGGUGGAAUGCGUAGAUAUCGGGAGGAACAUCAGUGGCGAAGGCGGCUGCCUGGCCCAAUACUGACACUCAGGUGCGACAGCGUGGGGAGCAAACAGG
rnacentral:rRNA from 1 species